rnacentral:rRNA from 1 species
UACGAAGGGUGCAAGCGUUACUCGGAAUUACUGGGCGUAAAGCGUGCGUAGGUGGUUAGUUAAGUCUGAUGUGAAAGCCCUGGGCUCAACCUGGGAAUGGCAUUGGAAACUGGCGACCUAGAGUGCGGUAGAGGGUAGUGGAAUUCCCGGUGUAGCAGUGAAAUGCGUAGAGAUCGGGAGGAACAUCUGUGGCGAAGGCGACUGCCUGGACCAGCACUGACACUGAGGCACGAAAGCGUGGGGAGCAAACAGG